UACGUAGGGCGCAAGCGUUGUCCGGAAUUAUUGGGCGUAAAGAGCUCGUAGGCGGUUUGUCGCGUCUGUCGUGAAAGCCCACGGCUUAACCGUGGGUCUGCGGUGGAUACGGGCAGACUAGAGGCAGGUAGGGGAGAAUGGAAUUCCCGGUGUAGCGGUGAAAUGCGCAGAUAUCGGGAGGAACACCGGUGGCGAAGGCGGUUCUCUGGGCCUGUACUGACGCUGAAGCACGAAAGCGUGGGGAGCAAACAGG
rnacentral:rRNA from 1 species